UACGUAGGUUGCGAGCGUUAUCCGGAUUUACUGGGCGUAAAGCGCUUGUAGGUGGUCUUGUAAGUUGGACGUGAAAUCUCCGGGCUCAACCCGGAGAGGCCGUUCAAUACUGCGAGGCUAGAGUAUAUCAGAGGCAAAUGGAAUUCCAGGUGUAGUGGUGAAAUGCAUAGAUAUCUGGAGGAACACCAGUGGCGAAGGCGAUUUGCUGGGAUAUUACUGACACUGAGAAGCGACAGCUAGGGGAGAGAACAGG
rnacentral:rRNA from 1 species